UAAGGUGUUGACUCAAGAUAAUCCCACAAAUCAUGGAGGGAAAUGCUAUUGGUAGCUUCACUGCGUUAGUAGAAGCAUGCUUGACAAUUUGUUCAAACAUAAACCUACCAUAGUCAAAUUUGAGUUUGGUUCCAAUAGCAAAGAUAAAUCUUCCAAGGGUAUUAGAAAUUGUGGAAAUGUGGUUGGUAGGCACCCAAUUUGCAGAUCCUAUUUUAUGCAAUAUGGCAUACUUAACAGUCAACUUCCCAG
rnacentral:lncRNA from 1 species